rnacentral:tRNA from 1 species
ACCUUCGUGGUGUAAUGGUCAGCACGCUGGGCUCGUAUUCCAGAGAUCCGUGGUUCGAGUCUCGUCGAAGGCG